rnacentral:tRNA from 1 species
GCCCCGGUAGCUCAGUUGGACAGAGCGACGGAUUCCUAAUCCGUAGGUCGUGGGUUCAAGUCCCGCCCGGGGUA